AAUUUAUCAAGGCACAUAACAGUACAGAGCAGGGAUUUCAAAGCAUGCCGUUGCUUUGUCAAACACACUGGCUACCCUCUAGAAAGCCGAGGAUCCCCUACUUCACGGGGCGCUACCCCAACACCCAGCCCAUAUCCUUCUCUAGUGUGUAUGGAGGAGGGGCUGGAGGAGAGCGGAUGGCCCAGGGUAGCCGCAACCAACCUCAGUCCUUUUUGUGGAGAAUUUGUCAUCUUGGACACCUGCCUGGACUAUCAAGAUCUUGGACUACUGCUGCAGGGCAGAGCGCACACCCGGCGAGGCCCAGAGUUCCUCUGUGGGACCGACACACUCCUGAAAGCGCAGAUGCCCCCUCAGUGCCAACUCAAGGCAUAGGAGUGGCGGCAGCAGCCCACUGCUCUCAGGGGAGUUUGCCUAAACACUGUCCCCUGCCAUUUCUCUGCUGGAGGAACUGUGCUGUGAGGCUCUGGCCGCCAUCAGUUCAAUGACUCAAGUUUAAAAAGAAGGUGAAAUUCAGAAGAAAAAUCCAGAAGGAAGGAGACCUGUCAGCAACCUGCAGCCCAUGCCUAUGCUAAUGAGAUUGCUAGUGACAGCCAAGCUUUGGAGGCAUUCGAUGUCCCCUGGAAUAUCCCUGCAGGCAAGGCUUUGAGCCCAGCCUCGGUCUGUCUGGAGUUGGGGGGGGGGGGGGGCGUGUGGCUCCCCGGCAGCCAGCGGGCCGAGCCAGGCUUUGCUGUCAUGAGGAAAGAAUCUGCAGGUCUGUAAACUUGCUAUUUUUAGGCCUUAGUGGGGCUGAGCCAGUUCCCCAGUGUAGUAGGGCCCUCAUAUUUUACUAAAUAGAACCUUGAAAAGU
rnacentral:lncRNA from 1 species